CCAUGUCUUUGCAUCGGACCAAGGCAACAUUCGAAGGCCUGCUUGAGACAGGGAGAGUUAACGAAUGAGUCGUCACUGAAAAAUUGGGGGAUGCUCUCAAAAUGAAAACGGCUUCCAAAGCAUCCAAAGAAUCUCGAAUGAGGAUCAGAAAGAGAGUCCAUCUGUUAGAGCUAAUUGUUGGGAUCUAUCUCUUCAUCUGUGGAUGCUAUGGUGUUGCCUUUGGAAAGAGCCAGUACUACUUCCUCUACCUCUGCCUCUUCCUCCAGUCAUUUGCUUUCUCUAUCGCAGGAUUUGGUUAUAUCGGAGUGUUAGUUCCAAACAACUACUAGUAUUAUUAGAAUAAAUAAGUUUGUAAUAAUAAAAAUAUUGAAUGUGUUUCCUCAAUCUAAGUGAAAUAAUAAUGUAGCAUCAGGAUUAACUUGGAUAAGUGAUCUUGGUCCAUGGAUAUGAUGUGUAAUAACUGAUGGAGCAUGGCUCUCAUUUAUUGGGCCUUUAUUGUAGACAAUGGUAUAUAUAAGGUCUGUAUGUAGCA